GUGAGGAAUAUUGGGCAAUGGGCGAAAGCCUGACCCAGCCACGCCGCGUGAGUGAUGAAGGCCUUCGGGUUGUAAAGCUCUGUGGGGAGGGAAGAAAAAGCGGGAGAGUAACUGCUCUCGUGUUGACGGUACCUCCUUAGCAAGCACCGGCUAACUCUGUGCCAGCAGCCGCGGUAAUACAGAGGGUGCAAACGUUGCUCGGAAUUACUGGGCGUAAAGCGCGUGUAGGCUGACAUGCAAGUCGGGUGUGAAAUCCCAGGGCUCAACCUUGGAACUGCACUCGAAACUGCACGGCUUGAGUACUGGAGAGGGAAGCGGAAUUCCGGGUGUAGAGGUGAAAUUCGUAGAUAUCCGGAGGAACACCAGUGGCGAAGGCGGCUUCCUGGACAGUAACUGACGCUGAGACGCGAAAGCGUGGGGAGCAAACAGGAUUAGAAACCCGUGUAGUCC
rnacentral:rRNA from 1 species